GACUAUUUGAGCAGGAUGGCCGGCACGUGUGUGCUCAGCCAGCUCUGCGCUGUAAGAGGAUGGCAUCUUUUUUUUUUUUUUUAGAGCAAUCAACUGAGCUGCAGGAGCCUGUGUCUUUUGGGUCAUUUUGGUAGCAUUGAGUAUUCCUGAUAUAGCCCAUCCCCAGCAUCCCCCGAGCUCCUGCUGCCAGAUCUCCCCUCGGCUCUCACACACACACACGUGUCUGUUGCCAAGCUCUGCCCUGGCCCCAUCUGCUCCACUCUUUAUCCGCAUGUCCUGGAAACCACUCUUCUUCCUCACCCUUUGCCUUAGGCUAUAUAUAAAGGGCUAAUCCCAAAGCUAGUGGUGUCAAAGAAAGGUCUGCCACUGACUACAGGAGACUGCAAGGACCAUAGCUGCUCACUUCAGGGCGUAUUUUCAACAGAUGAUUAAAUAACCAGAGGAAAACAGCACAAGAUCAUCAUUGGGACACUCCAAAUUUUGUUUCCAUCUGGUAAGAGUCUUGUAGGUGCCGUAACUUCAGAAUAAUUUCAAGCCUGUACUUUUCACUGAAGACUCUGAAGUUGGAGUCAACCAGUGAGUGGAAGAAGGCAGAUUUGCUUUUGUGUCGCUCAUGGCCAUUCAGAAAACUGCUAAAGCAACAUGCCUCAGGGCUGUGAACACCUACAUCUGGUAAUGCUGGACGCGCUGUGUGACCACAUCCCUGCUGGUUGGACCCUCAGAUGAAAAUCCAGCUGUCUUGCUUGGUGCUGCCUCCAGAUCCGGCCCUAAGAGUGAUGCUGCUGGGGCUGCUUUCUUCCUACCUCAAGGACAUUGUUUAUUUCAAGAGUACAUCCACAUGCUUGUUUCCUGCUCUCAGCAAGGCUCUGGCCUUCCACCCAGUGAAGCUCAGGAAUUUUUGGCAAAAUCUGAUUAUCUUUUUUUCUUUGUGUGUGUAAUCCUGACAUGUUCCCUCCUGCACGCAGAAGUUGUACAUGGAGUUGCUUGGAACCACUCCUUCUCACGAGACUCUUCAUUUCCUUGUCUCUUGGGAUAAGAGCUUGUCACUCCAUGUCACACCUGGGAGGUGCAGGGAACCAUCGGGGAAGGCUGUAUUUAACCUGGGCAAAGGACCUGUAAGCACAGGGAACCUUCUAAGAUGAGUCCUGCUGUGGGCAACCCCACCAUCUCCAAGCACCACUCUGAGCUUUGGGUUGGGGUCUCUUCCA